rnacentral:rRNA from 1 species
UAACGCGUAUCCAACCUUCCGUACACUCAGGGAUAGCCUUUCGAAAGAAAGAUUAAUACCUGAUGGUAUGAUGAGAUUGCAUGAUAGCAUCAUUAAAGAUUUAUCGGUGUACGAUGGGGAUGCGUUCCAUUAGGUAGUAGGCGGGGUAACGGCCCACCUAGCCAACGAUGGAUAGGGGUUCUGAGAGGAAGGUCCCCCACAUUGGAACUGAGACACGGUCCAAACUCCUACGGGAGGCAGCAGUGAGGAAUAUUGGUCAAUGGACGAGAGUCUGAACCAGCCAAGUAGCGUGAAGGAUGAAGGUCCUACGGAUUGUAAACUUCUUUUAUAAGGGAAUAAACCCUCCCACGUGUGGGAGCUUGUAUGUACCUUAUGAAUAAGCAUCGGCUAACUCCGUGCCAGCAGCCGCGGUAAUACGGAGGAUGCGAGCGUUAUCCGGAUUUAUUGGGUUUAAAGGGAGCGCAGACGGGUCGUUAAGUCAGCUGUGAAAGUUUGGGGCUCAACCUUGAAAUUGCAGUUGAUACUGGCGUCCUUGAGUGCGGUUGAGGUGUGCGGAAUUCGUGGUGUAGCGGUGAAAUGCUUAGAUAUCACGAAGAACUCCGAUUGCGAAGGCAGCACACUAAUCCGUAACUGACGUU